rnacentral:rRNA from 2 species
UGGGGAAUUUUGCACAAUGGGCGAAAGCCUGAUGCAGCAACGCCGCGUGUGUGAUGAAGGUCUUCGGAUCGUAAAGCACUUUCGACCGGGACGAACAACCUCUGGCUAACAGUCAGGGGCCUGACGGUACCGGGAGAAGAAGCACCGGCUAACUCUGUGCCAGCAGCCGCGGUAAUACAGAGGGUGCAAGCGUUGUUCGGAAUUAUUGGGCGUAAAGCGCGUGUAGGCGGCUUGUUAAGUCGGGUGUGAAAGCCCUCAGCUCAACUGAGGAAGGGCGCCCGAAACUGGCGAGCUUGAGUGUCGGAGAGGAUGGCGGAAUACCCCAAGUAGAGGUGAAAUUCGUAGAUAUGGGGUGGAACACCGGUGGCGAAGGCGGCCAUCUGGACGACAACUGACGCUGAGACGCGAAAGCGUGGGGAGCAAACAGG